CGUAGAUUUCGCAAUACGUAGAUGACUCAUGAAACGCAAUUCCGCUGCAUUCUUUGUCUUCUUCAUUCUCUCAAUCUCCUCGAUCUUCAUCUAUCAAUUCUUUCUUUUCUUAUAGACUAGAUUCUACUCUCUUUCUCUCUCUCUGUUUUUUCUUCCUCUCCCUUGUCUUUUGCCCCUCCGGCAUACACACUUUUCAACUCCGGGUAUUCAUCCUAAAUACAUAAUUCACAAUGGGGAGGAAGAAGAGGGGACUAGCCAAAGGGAGGGCUUCCAGAAUCGGCGGCUAUGCAGCUGCCUCUUCAAUCUCCGAUCCCAAUUCCGUUUCUUGCACAACUUUCAAUAUCCUUGCUCCCAUUUACAAAAGGCUCUGUAACGAGGACCCCAGUGUUAGAGAAAGCCAUUUCAGGGGAUUUUGGUUGGACAGGAACGAAAGAAUCUUGGAAUGGUUAUUGUAUGAAAGAUCUUCCAUCAUUUGUCUUCAGGAAUUUUGGGUUGGAAAUGAAGAGCUUGUUGAUCUCUAUGACAAGAAACUAGGUGAUGCUGGAUAUCUUACUUUUAAGCUUGCCAGAACUAACAACCGGGGUGAUGGUCUGUUGACUGCUGUACAUAAGGAUUACUUCAGUGUUAUAAGCCACCAAGAGUUGCUUUUCAAUGAUUUUGGAGACCGUGUUGCACAGUUAUUACACGUUGAGCUAGUAUUACCCUGCUCGCCGUGUCGAAAUGUUAAUGUUAGAAAAGAAAUUCUUAUAGUCAACACACACUUGCUGUUCCCGCACGAUUCAAGUAUUUGCUUGGAACGUCUGCGACAGGUCUACAAAAUAUUGCAAUAUGUGGAAUCAUAUCAAAAGGAAAAUAAGCUUAACCCUUUGCCAAUUAUACUCUGCGGGGAUUGGAAUGGAAGUAAACGGGGUCAUGUUUACAAGUUCCUUAGAUCUCAGGGAUUUAUAUCAUCCUAUGAUACUGCACACCAGUACGCUGAUGCAGAUGCACAGAAGUGGGUGAGCCAUCGGAAUCACCGAGGGAACAUCUGUGGUGUGGAUUUUAUAUGGCUUCUUAAUCCUAACAAGUACAGGAAGUUGCUGAAAACGAGUUGGAGUCAGGCAAUCUUUGGAAUGUUUAAGUAUCAACUCCGUCGUGCCUCUUUGACAGAAGAGGAUGCAUUUGCCUUUCUGAAGGCUGAUAGCAGUGAUGAUUAUAUUUCAUACUCCGAUUUCUGUGAAGCUUUGCGGCAGCUUAGUUUGAUCGGCAAUCGCAAUGGGCUGAGUAUUCAGGAGAUUAAUGAUUUGUGGGUGCAAGCAGAUAUGGAUGGAAACGGUGUUGUUGAUUACAAAGAAUUCAAGCAACGGAUAUGGAACCCGACAUGGUCAGAACAAAGAGACGACCAAUGGGACGACAGCGAAAACGCCAUAGAUGAAGCCAUCGGGUUUAGCAUCCAGGACGCGGUUCUUUUCCCCAAGGAAGUAGAGAAAGGGAAGUGGCCUGAAGAAUAUUCUCUCUCUGAUCAUGCCAAACUAACUGUUGUAUUUUCACCAGCUUGAUUGAUGCUGCCUGCGAGCUUUGGUUGUGAGCUUAUGACCAUUCCUUCAAAUUCCCAAAUCUUCACCAGAGAUUGAGAGGGGUUAUCAUACUCCUUUAGGAGAUUGAACGGUGGAGAUUGUUGUGGCGUGAGGUGCCUUCCGGUCUGUGGAGGCAGGAGGCCAGCCAUCAUGCAUGAAAGCAUCUCAAGUCGGGGGACGAGUAUAUGAUUUGGAUCAGCGUCUACGAACGUUUAAGUUUCGUUAUUAGUAGAAAAUUGGUUAAUCGUGAAUUCAAGAUAAAGUUAACUGUAGUAUAAUAUUUGGUAUACCUAACAUCUUUCUUCAUUGGUUAACAAGACCUUAGACGUAUUCAUUCCAAACAAAUGAAUUUGUUCGAUACUU